AAUGAACGCGGCGGCGUGCUAACACAUGCAAGUCGGAUGUGCCCAGCAAGGGUGCAUGGCAGACGGGUGAGUAACGCGUGGGGAAUCUACCUUUUAGUGGGGAAUAACGCUCCGAAAGGAGUGGUAAUACCGCAUGAGACCAGUGGCUGGGAUGCUGCUGGUGAAACCCUGGGACCUUCGGGCCAGGGGCUAGAAGAGGAUCCUGCGUCUGAUUAGCUAGUUGGUGAGGUAACGGCCCACCAAGGCAUCGAUCAGUAGCCGGCCUGAGAGGGUGAUCGGCCACACUGGAACUGAGACACGGUCCAGACUCCUACGGGAGGCAGCAGUGGGGAAUUUUGCGCAAUGGGCGAAAGCCUGACGCAGCAACGCCGCGUGGGUGAUGAAGGUCUUCGGAUUGUAAAACCCUGUCGCCAGGGACGAAGGGUGGGGCGUGAAUAGCGUUUCACUUUGACGGUACCUGGAAAGGAAGCCCCGGCUAACUCUGUGCCAGCAGCCGCGGUAAUACAGAGGGGGCAAGCGUUAUUCGGAAUUAUUGGGCGUAAAGGGCGCGUAGGCGGUUUUUUAAGUCGGAUGUGCAAUCCCUGGGCUCAACCCAGGAACUGCAUCCGAGACUGGAAGGCUAGAGUACUGGAGAGGGUGGUGGAAUUCCUCGUGUAGCGGUGAAAUGCGUAGAGAUGAGGAGGAACACCAGUGGCGAAGGCGGCCACCUGGACAGUAACUGA
rnacentral:rRNA from 1 species